rnacentral:rRNA from 1 species
AACUGGGGAACUUGAGUGCAGAAGAGGAGAGUGGAAUUCCACGUGUAGCGGUGAAAUGCGUAGAGAUGUGGAGGAACACCAGUGGCGAAGGCGACUCUCUGGUCUGUAACUGACGCUGAGGCGCGAAAGCGUGGGGAGCGAACAGGAUUAGAUACCCUGGUAGUCCACGCCUAAACGAUGAGUGCUAAGUGUUAGAGGGUUUCCGCCCUUUAGUGCUGCAGCAAACGCAUUAAGCACUCCGCCUGGGGAGUACGGUCGCAAGACUGAAACUCAAAGGAAUUGACGGGGCCCGCACAAG